GACGAACGCUGGCGGCAUGCUUAACACAUGCAAGUCGAACGGAAAGGCCCUGCUUUUGUGGGGUGCUCGAGUGGCGAACGGGUGAGUAACACGUGAGUAACCUGCCCUUGACUUUGGGAUAACUUCAGGAAACUGGGGCUAAUACCGGAUAGGAGCUCCUGCUGCAUGGUGGGGGUUGGAAAGUUUCGGCGGUUGGGGAUGGACUCGCGGCUUAUCAGCUUGUUGGUGGGGUAGUGGCUUACCAAGGCUUUGACGGGUAGCCGGCCUGAGAGGGUGACCGGCCACAUUGGGACUGAGAUACGGCCCAGACUCCCACGGGAGGCAGCAGUGGGGAAUAUUGCACAAUGGGCGGAAGCCUGAUGCAGCAACGCCGCGUGCGGGAUGACGGCCUUCGGGUUGUAAACCGCUUUCGCCUGUGACGAAGCGUGAGUGACGGUAAUGGGUAAAGAAGCACCGGCUAACUACGUG
rnacentral:rRNA from 1 species